GGGCACAUGGUGUAGUUGGUUAUCACGCUCGCUUAGCAUUGUUGUGUGCGAGAGGUGCUGGGUUCAAUUCCCAGUGUGUCCA
rnacentral:tRNA from 1 species